UCUGACCUCAAAUCAGGUAGGAUUACCCGCUGAACUUAAGCAUAUCAAUAAGCGGAGGAAAAGAAACUAACAAGGAUUCCCUUAGUAACUGCGA
rnacentral:rRNA from 1 species